UGGGGAAUUUUGGACAAUGGGGGAAACCCUGAUCCAGCCAUCCCGCGUAUGCGAUGAAGGCCUUCGGGUUGUAAAGCACUUUUGGCAGGAAAGAAACGUCAUGGGUUAAUACCCCGUGAAACUGACGGUACCUGCAGAAUAAGCACCGGCUAACUACGUGCCAGCAGCCGCGGUAAUACGUAGGGUGCAAGCGUUAAUCGGAAUUACUGGGCGUAAAGCGUGCGCAGGCGGUUCGGAAAGAAAGAUGUGAAAUCCCAGAGCUCAACUUUGGAACUGCAUUUUUAGCUACCGGGCUAGAGUGUGUCAGAGGGAGGUGGAAUUCCGCGUGUAGCAGUGAAAUGCGUAGAUAUGCGGAGGAACACCGAUGGCGAAGGCAGCCUCCUGGGAUAACACUGACGCUCAUGCACGAAAGCGUGGGGAGCAAACAGG
rnacentral:rRNA from 1 species